GAAUCAAAGAUUUAAUUUUGCAUUUUCCUUUUCUUUUUCCUUAAUUACGGAAAUUAUUCUUUUGAAUAUUAUCGUUAUCAUGGGGGAAAAUACGCUCACAUAGAUGUAGAUCUACGUGUUAAUUAGGGUAAUCCAAAAUAGGAAAAUGCACAUGCGUCCGUUCUUACGGAGAAAAAAAUCUUCGCUUCUUAGUCCGAAAUUUAUUCGGUGUGGAGCAAUUAAAUUGAACGGUAUUAUCUUCUCGUUUAAUCGUGCAUCUCUAAUUAAGCUUUUGAGCGCACGCGCACGUAUGUAUACUCGUUGAGAAAGAAAUCCUCUCUACUAAAAAUUACGAAAACCCGGCGAAAAAUUUUCUAACAUCGUCAACGUCGACAACACUUUCGGCCUUCGACGCAACGAUUCUGACAAAUUUCGACCGAGAGAGAAAGAAAGAGAGAAAGAGAGAAAGAGAGAGAAAGAGAGAGAAAGAGAGAGAGAAAGAGAGAGAGAAAGAGAGAGAGAGAGCGAGAGAGAGAGAGAGAGAGAGAGGAGGAGGCAUCGAUGGAACACACUCUCGUAGAGCAAAUAACGAUUGCUUUGAUCCUUAGUCCGAAAGUUAAACGGCAGGCUAUCGUCGAGUAUUCAUUCUCGAUCUUACAAGGAAGAUAAAGGAAGCGGAAAGGAUUCUAAGCAUAUUUCGUCAAAGAUGAGAAAGCGGACGACAAGAUCGAUAAGAAGAGGGAAGAAAGUAAGGACGGCAAUUCCGACGACCUGACGCUUGUAGCCGAGACGCUCGACGAAGGCUGACGGAUCUGGAGGAGAAUCAGGGGGAAGCCGUGGAGGAACGAAAGAUGAAUGAGAGCGAGAUUUAUCUGCUCGAGUGGGAAGAAGAGGCAGAAGCUAGGGAACCUAGCGGUGAACUCAACAGAAGUUUUUACAAUGCUAGCCGUGGAAAUCGUAGCUACGAAGAUUUCUGGGAAUUAGCAAGCGAUCGUGCUGGACUAGCAGUGGUUCUUUUUCUCUUCUCCGUGGCAACAGUUUUUGGUAAUAGCCUGGUAAUUCUUGCUGUCAUCAGAGAAAGAUAUCUUCACACGGCGACCAAUUAUUUCGUUACGUCGUUGGCCUUUGCCGAUUGCCUCGUAGGCCUGGUCGUCAUGCCGUUCAGCGCGAUUUAUGAAGUUCUCGAGAAUCGAUGGCUUUUUACGACCGACUGGUGCGACGUUUGGCGUUCCCUCGACGUACUCUUCUCGACGGCCUCGAUCUUGAACCUCUGCGUGAUCAGUUUGGAUCGUUACUGGGCCAUCACCGAUCCGUUUACCUAUCCAAUGAGGAUGAGUAGAAAACGUGCGGCGAUAUUGAUCGCGAUCGUUUGGAUUUGUUCAAGCGCGAUAUCUUUUCCAGCGAUAGCUUGGUGGAGAGCAGUCAGAACGGAGGAAGUGCCGGAGGACAAGUGUCCCUUCACUGAACAUCUCGGUUACUUGAUAUUCUCCUCCACGAUUAGCUUUUAUUUACCGCUCUUCGUUAUGGUCUUCACCUAUUAUAGGAUCUAUCGAGCCGCGGUGAUACAAACGAGGAGUCUCAAGUUGGGUACGAAACAAGUGAUGAUGGCCUCCGGCGAGCUCGAACUUACUCUUAGGAUACAUCGUGGUGGUGGUGGCGGCAGUGGUGGUGGUGGUGGUGGUGGUGGUGGUGUUAGCACUGGUGGAGCAAAUACGAAUGUGGACCCGAGGCAUCUCUUUCGUACGGCCUCGAGCACGCCAGAAGAUCUACAAGAUCUCGAGGAACCUCUUACGGCCCUUCACAAUAAUGGAUUAACUAGAGUACCUUCCACGAGGAUCAACAACAAACAACAUCUCGGCAAAAACUUUUCCUUGUCGCGCAAACUCGCUAAAUUUGCGAAGGAAAAGAAAGCCGCAAAGACUCUUGGCAUCGUCAUGGGAGUCUUUAUCGUUUGCUGGUUACCCUUCUUCGUGGUGAAUCUAUGGUCGGGUUUCUGCGCCAGGUGUAUCUGGCAAGAGGAGAUUGUUUCUGCUGCCGUCACGUGGCUCGGUUGGAUCAACAGCGGCAUGAACCCAGUUAUAUACGCUUGCUGGAGCAGGGAUUUUCGGAGAGCUUUCGUAAGGAUAUUAUGCGUAUGUUGUCCAAGACGAAUGAGAAGAAGAUAUCAGCCAGCAUUCCGGUGUAAACCUAGUCAGAGAUUCUCAUCCGGAAGGUACUAUUCUGCUUACUCGCUCCACCACAUACGAAGAAGCCGAGAGAAUUCGGGUGAACAAACCUACAUUUAACGACGGGAUAUCGACGCGACACGAUCGUCGAAAGUCGUCGAAUUCCUCGAGUACCUACGCCUGCAUUAUAUCAAGCCCUCUCCGUUCCAACCAAUACGGAAUAGUAUGGCGUCGUCGGUACGCGAAUGUUCAAAUAAUAAUUCGAAUAAGAAAUGUCUCGUCGAAAAUGAAAGACGAAAUCGGGCACUUUUCGUAUUCAUAUUUACGAAAAAUCGAAUACAUUUAGAAAGAAUAAAAAAUGCGCGCGAUAAUAUCAUUUCAUAGUAGUGUCUCACUUCUCUUGAUGUUACGUUUUUUUCACCGAUCGGUGAAAAAAAUCUUGUAUCGUUGCAAACGCUCUUUUGGACGCUUAAGUGGUCGGAACGUCAACGUGUGUAUCUUUAAAGUUUUGCCAUCGGUUAGAUUUGAUGAUUAUUUAAUAAAAAUAAGAAGAAGAAAGCACAGUAAAACAUAUGUGUAUAUAUAUGUAUUAUCGCAAAUGUCGCGGCAGUAUUUCGAGAACGUUUGCUUUUAAUUAAUCGAUAAUAUUAAUGGCACUACGAUCAUAAAACGAUGCGUUUUCCACAUAUCCAAUGAAAAUCCUACCCAAGUAAAUCGUUUCUUAACUGACCCCUAACCCCUGACCCUUACCCACGCCUUUUAACCAGUUAACCGAAUCGCUCAAUGGAGGAGACUUGUCGCCAACCCCGUAGAAAACAAAAAACCUCGUACGUUUCUGGAAUGGGAACGAGCGGACAGACUAGUAGCGUUAGUUAUAGUAGCGUCAGUCAAAGCAGCGAUGGCGGUGCUUGUGUGUCUGGAAGUGGUCUACCUAAUACUGGCGGAAUGUGACGUCACCCAGGGGCCCGUUCGGGGCCACGUCGAGAAAGAGCAAUACGUUUUCGUGACGCGUGAUAGUCCUGGUCACGCAGAUAGACAAAUCUACGAUAUAGAACAUAUACAUAUGUAUAAUGUGCGCUAAGGAUCUGAAAAAAAAAAAAGAAAAAAGAAGAAAAAAGAAAUGAUCAGCUAGAUGGGACGUAUGACGAAGAAAAGGGAACAAGAUCUCACUGUGCUGCGUCCAAAAGCUGUACAGCAAAUUGCGUUCAUAUAUAUAUAUAUAUAAUUGUAGGUAUACACAUACAUAAAUUUAGUAUUAACGACGAUAUAUGCAAAAUUGACAUUAUUUUUUUGAUUAAUACUUUUUCUCAAUUUCACUUUCUCGCAUUUGCUUUAGUUUCUAUAUUGUUUUGCAUUUACACAAUGUGAUAAGUUGAUGCGAUAAGUUGAUACGAUAACAGAGAACCGUUUUAAAUGUCACGAUGUAAAAAAUGAUGGAAAUGAAAAAAACGUAAGUAUAAGUUUAAGGAGACACUCCAAAGGAAAGAACAUUCCGUUUGCUUCUUGCUUUUUUACGUAUUUCUUACCCCUCUCUCUCUCUCUCUCUCUCUCUCUCUCUCUCUCUCUCUAUCUCUC